rnacentral:rRNA from 1 species
AGAGUUUGAUCCUGGCUCAGGAUGAACGCUAGCGGCAGGCUUAACACAUGCAAGUCGAGGGGCAUCGAGUGUAGCAAUACAUGUCGGCGACCGGCGAAAGGGUGAGUAACGCGUGAGCAACAUACCCGCUGACGGGGGAUAGGAGGUGGAAACGCCUUGUAAUACCCCAUAAGAUACGGAGCGGCAUCGUUCUGUAUUGAAAGAUUCAUUGUCAGCGGAUUGGUUCGCGUGCCAUUAGGUAGACGGCGGGGUAACGGCCCACCGUGCCGACGAUGGCUAGGGGUUCUGAGAGGAAGGUCCCCCACAUUGGAACUGAGACACGGUCCAGACUCCUACGGGAGGCAGCAGUGAGGAAUAUUGGUCAAUGGCCGAGAGGCUGAACCAGCCAUGCCGCGUGAAGGAUGAAGGCCCUAUGGGUCGUAAACUUCUUUUGUCGUGGAGCAAUAAGGGUCACGCGUGGCCCGAUGAGAGUACACGUCGAAUAAGCAUCGGCUAACUCCGUGCCAGCAGCCGCGGUAAUACGGAGGAUGCGAGCGUUAUCCGGAUUUAUUGGGUUUAAAGGGUGCGUAGGCGGUCGGGUAAGCGUAGG